rnacentral:rRNA from 1 species
ACUCAAAUGAAUUGACGGGGGCCCGCACAAGCGGUGGAGUAUGUGGUUUAAUUCGACGCUACGCGCAGAACCUUACCAACCUUUGACAUGUCCACUAUGGGCUUGAGAGAUCAGGUCCUUCACUUCGGGUGGGUGGAACACAGGUGCUGCAUGGCUGUCGUCAGCUCGUGUCGUGAGAUGUUGGGUUAAGUCCCGCAACGAGCGCAACCCUCAUCUUUAGUUGCCAUCAGGUUAUGCUGGGCACUCUAGAGAAACCGCCGGUGACAAGCCGGAGGAAGGCGGGGAUGACGUCAAGUCCUCAUGGCCCUUACAGGUUGGGCUACACACGUACUACAAUGGCAGUGACAAAGGGAUGCGAUCUCGCAAGAGUGAGCCGACCUCUAAAAACUGCCUCAGUUCGGAUUGUCCUCUGCAACUCGAGGGCAUGAAGCUGGAAUCGCUAGUAAUCGCGCAACAGCAUGGCGCGGUGAAUACGUUCCCGGGCCUUGUACACACCGCCCGU